rnacentral:lncRNA from 1 species
CAAAACUCAAUGGCAAUCUAUAAGAAGCUGGGUGGUGAGUGGACAAUAGGGAACAACUAUGCAAAUGCUUCUAACGGAAGGAUAUGGAUAAUGUGGAAAGAUGUCAAUGUUCAGGUGGUACUACUGGAAAGCACUGAUCAACUAAUACAUUGUCAGGUGAAAGAUAAUAAUUCAACCUUUACUAGCUACAUCACCUUUGUAUAU